CUAGAAGUAACCAUUGUCCUCUGCUUUCAACCAUUAACAACAAAAUGAUGCAUCAAGAGCACUGCAUGAGAAGUUCAAGAAAGUAUAGUGGAGCAUGAUGGGGAUCUUUCUCUUGAUGUAUACUACUCCGACAAAGCUUUGGGAGGGAUUUCUGGGUUUUUGCAUGUAAUGUGACUACAUAACCUUUAAGCUAUAUCUGGGUGGUGGGAGGUUGUGAAUGUUUGCACAUCCUUCUGGAAGACACUCCUUUGAACUGUGAUAUUAAAGGAAUAGGUAAGUUGGAACAUCUCAAUAAUCUAACUGGAUUAAGAUGUUAUUAACAAAGAUGCGCAGGAAGGAGAGGGAUGCAACUCGGAAGAGUUACUGGCACUUAAAAAGCUUGCUUAGCUUCAAAAUCGAUAAGCUGGAGAAAGUCAACAAAGUUGCAUCAGUAUUUUCUAUGCCCAACUAUAAAGGGCAUAGUCAACAACAAGAGAUGAACAAGCUUGCCGAAGUUCUUAAAUGCGUCUCCAGCUUGGCUAACUGGGACGAAUAUAUGGUCCUUAAAUGCCUAUUAUUGUGUAACAUGCCUAUCCAGGAGGCUUAAGUCAUAUCAACAUUGAAGAUUGGGAGUGUUCAAAGUGUUUCAAUGAUAUUUGACCUCCCUACCUUGAGAUUUCUGGAUGUUGUUAAUUGUCCAAUGCUGGAGUGCAUCUAGAAGCUCGAGUCUCUACAGAGGUUGAAGCUGAUAUAUUGAUCAUUGAGAGAACAACAUUAGUCUCUCUGAGUGGCUCAUCACUUUCCUCUAACACCAUGAGAAUCCCCAAGGCAGUCACUCUCAUUUUAAUUUCAAGUGCUCUGCACUAACACUGAAGGGAUGUUUCAAAGGGAGCCCAUGUUGGUCUUUCCUCGAACAAAUUCCCUGCUUCAUCACCUAUAAAUAGGACAGAAGCAUGUGCUUGAAAUGCACAAAGGAACCAUUUUCUUAUGAAACCAACCUUGUUGAAGACAUGACUGUAGUGGCACUCCAAAUGAAGAGGGGGAUGAAUACUUGAAUUUUACGUAGACCACUGAAGAAUGAGACAUGGACCUGUAUAACUGUCUCAAGCAUAGGGGGGAUGUUUGAAAGGGCAUUCACACUGGUUGUAACUUGUUCCUCCAGUAAGUAGCCUGUCUUGUAGCUGAUACAGAGAACAGAAGCAUGUACGUGAAGCACAUAAAAGGACUAUGUUCCUCUAAAACCAAUGAUUUCUUGAAGAUAUGAACGGAGGAAUGGUUGAUAAACAUGUUUUUAGUGGCAAAGAUUUGACUUUAUUAUGACUCAACUUUCAGCUUGAGGUGAUGGUUAUUAUGGUGGAGUUCAUGUCCAUUGGAGCGAGGCAUGGCUUUGGUUUUUUAAAUUUUCUGUGAGUUAUGCUCUCCUUAUUGAGUUGAUUUCCUUCUUUGCUUAAUUUUCUGAACAAUUAAUGUGCAGGAGCUUUUUUCGGGGGAAUUAAUAUACAUGUUAGAAAAUAGGGUGGAGCAUGAUACAUGAGGAGCUAUCUUUCUUUGUAUACAAAUCAAGUCUUUGAUGAAAUUUAGGGUGGGAGUGCUGUUUUCUUUUCUACAGUACUGUCAGAGCUAUCUCUGUCUUCUUUUCUCUGCGCAUGUGCAUGUGUUUUAUCCUCAAGUAUUUAGUUUGUUUAAUCUUUCUUCAGAACUGUGAUAUAUGUAUGUAUGUGUUCACUGUGCAAUUGGAGGGAAGGUGCAUAAACCUAUUUGUAUGCCAAGUAUGUGAAUUUUGUAAUGAAGAAAUGGUUUACCCGAUUUAUUUUACACUGUGAGUUGAGCUUGAAACUCGAUGAUUUCCUUGUCCUUGUUACAGCUUAAAUAAUUCACAUCAUGAGUUUUGGAGAUUGGUAGAAUAGCAGGACACUUGUUUAAUAAUAAGUUUCUUUAGUUUUCUGAACAAUAAUGUGACUCGAGUUAAAAACAUAGAUUUUGUCUUUAUUCUAUAUAUAUAUAUACAUACUACUGCUCUGAGGAAGCUCUGUUUUUUAAUACUUGAUACUUAAUGUUACAGACCUUAUAGAUAUCCGUCUUAUUCAAGUGUAUACCAAUUGAAAUAUUGCCCUUUAAUAAUGAAAUGCCUAUUUGAUAUUGAACUUCAGAGUCAACCGUUGGAUAUGAUAUAUGUGCAACUACGUGAGGAAUGACGCAUUUCCUUGGCCACAAUUUGAUGAAUAUAAAUCCUAUGCUCAAGUACAUGAUCAAAGACAAAGAUUGUAGCUCAUCAACAAAGAAGGCGACACAUAUAUUGGGACCAUUGCAAACUUAUUGAGUUUGAACUCAUUGUAGGUCUGUGAGCCAAAGCGAAGCUGCCAAUUUUCACAACAAACUCUGAUAAGCAGAGGAUGUUUUGAUCAUGGCUCUAAGUGUAUAAUAAUUUGAUUGCUCAAAUCACCUGGUUUCAACUUGAACUUGAUAUGACAGGUAAGAGUUAUAGACCGAGGCAUGACAAGCUUCUGGGGUUUCUUUCCUUCGUUUUGGCUCACAGACCUAGUUUUCAAUGUUAGUUGAGCUUGAAACUAGAUGAUAUCCUUGCAUGCACUUGUUAACAGCUUAAUUUACACCAUGAUUAAUUUUACGGUUUGAUUGAAUAACAUGCCAGUUUUUUAAUAAGUCCUUGCCUUCUUUAGUGAUUUUACUUAAUGAUGUUUUACGAUUACUUUAUUCUGAGUUAGUUAUAUACAUGCUGAUAGUCAGUAACAGUAGAUGGACAAGAUUGUACAAGUCUUUGAUGAGCUAUGCCCUCCACAAAGACUUGAUGAUCUACGAAUUGAAAAGGAAAUAUCCACAAUGGAUAUCAUCCAAUUCCAUAAAUACUGCUCUUCUAGAAGUGACUUGAUCUUUGCAACUAUUUUAUUGCUCCAAUUGUUCUCAGCUUCCCCAACUUUGCCAACUGCCCCAACUCAAGUAUCUAAGGAUCAAGGCAGCAACUGCAAUUGUAUCAAUUGGUGCUGAAUUUCUCAUCAAUGGAAAACUUGCAGGAAGUGCCUUCCCCAACUUGAGUACUUAUUAUUCUGGGACAUAACUAAUUGGGAGGAAUGGUCACUGAUCAAUGGAGAGGAAGACAAUGAUCUUGAAUCUAGCAAGUUAUUGCUCUUCCCUCAUCUCAUAAGUAUUUCCAUUGACAACUGCCCCAAGCUUAAAGAUCUUCCAAGAGGCUUGAAUCACAUCUGAGAAUUGUAUAUUACUAGAGCUCACAGUCUUUCAAGAAUAUCUCAUCUCCCUGCUUUGAAAGAAUUGCAAGUUAUUGAUUGCCCAUUGUUGGAGUGUGUAGAGAAGCUUGAUUCCCUUCAAUGCUUGGAGAUGAGUGAUAAAGAGAACAAGAGUCUCCCUAAGUGGCUCAUUUUUUUCCUCCAACAACGCAAAAAGCCUCAUAAUGAUCAAUUCCAUUUGUUGUUGGAGUGCAGCGCCCAAUCAUUGCAGGAUGUUUGAAAGGGCAUUGCUGUUGGGUUUUCCUCCAGCAUGUACCCCACUUGGAAGCCUCUGCAGAGGAUGGAAAUAUGUAUUUAAAGUAUACCAAAGAACAAUUUUUGUACCAAACAAUCCAUGAUGAAGACAUCAGCUGAUGAGGACUAGGUUGAAAGCUUGAAAUUUAACAAGAUCUGGAUAUGCAUGACUCGGAUGGAGGAAUGGUGGUCAAACAUAUUCUCAAACAGCUUGAAAAGCUUCAUAACGAUUACUACUUCUUGCAUUUGGAGUGCAGUGCUCAAGCACCAGAGACUGGAGGGAUGUUUGAAAGGGCCAUGGUGUUCAAACUGGUUGUUCAUCCAGCAUGUACCCUGUCUUGUGACACACCAAAGAACUAUAUUCCUAUGAAACCAAUCUUUCCUUGAAAACAUGACUGGUAUUCAUUAAUUGUGCUCAAUAUCUCUCUAUUUUUUCUGAUAAUUAGUGUGUAUGUC